GCGCAGUGGCUCAUUCCUGUAAUUCCAACACUUUGGGAGGCUGAGGGGGGAGGAUCACUUAAGUCCAGGAGUUUGAGACCAGCCUGGGCAACAUGGUGAGACCCCUGUGUCUACAAAAAUAAAAAUAAAAAACUUAGCUGGGUGUGGUGGUGCAUGCUUGUGUCCCAGCUACUUGGGAGGCAAAGUGGGAGGAUUGCUUGAGCCUGAGAGAUUGAGGCUUCAGUGCAGUUUGAGCCACUGCACACACUCCAGCCUGGGUGACAGUGAGACCCUGUCUUAAAAAAAUAAGAGUAUGACAUGAGCAUGUGAGAGCAAAAGAAAACAAGGAAGUCUGCGACCAUGAAGCGAAUGCUUAGUCUCUGAUAUCACAGGCUUAAAGAAAAUGAUAAAGACCUAAAAAGAAAAGAAAUAUCCCAGCAUGCUGAAGGAAAGAAAAGUUCCCCAAUACCCUUCCUGCUUAUUUUUCCAAUAUAUUACACAGCUGGGUCCACCUUACCACGUCCUGUUUGAUUCCAGCGUUACCAACUUUUCUAUUGGAGCCAAAUAAGACAUACUGCAAUCAGUGAUGAACUGUCUAUAUGCCAAGUGUAUCCCUUGUGUAACUGUGUAAUGGCUGAAACUGAGAAAUUGGGGCGAAGUAUCAAGUGGCUUAAAGGAUUGCCAAGGAUCCAAAAUUUGAACGAUUACCAAAUUACCACGCACAGGAAGGAAUCUAUGCAGAUGACUGCUUAGCACAGAGAGUUACUCAGCAUAAGUGUUGUAGCCACGAACCUGGGACCUUAAAAGAAGAAUCCUAAGAUUCUUGGAGUUCCUAUCAUGUACAUUUCUAACCAUAGAUACAACAUGGGAACUGAUGUCAGAUGAUUAUGGAGCCCCUUGGUUCUAAUUCUUGCCCAAGUUCCUCUGCCUUUCUUCCACCAACUUUCUCUUGUUGCCAGUUCAUUAAACAUGGAAUAGAAUGUUAUUCUGUUCAAUUCAUUUGCCCUGUUAUCAGCUGAAUAUGGUUAAACACACUCAAUUUUUCAUGCUGUUUUGAAAUUGAUAUUUUGUUGCAUUUAAAAAAUUUAAAUGAUGGUCAAAGGGUACAAAAUCUCCGACAGGAAGAAUCCAUUUUAUAAUUUUUUUGAGGUCUGUUGCACAGUGUGGUGAAUAUAGUUAGUAGAGUAUUAUACAUUUCAAAAUUGCUAAGAGUAAAUUUCAAAUGUUCUCACUACAAAAUGCUAAGUAUUUGAAGUGAUGGAUAUGUUAACUAGCUCGAUUUAAUUAUUCUACAUUGUAUCCACAGAUUAUGACAUCAUUUUGUAACCCAUAAAUUUAUACAAUUAUAAAUUGUCAUUUACAGUAAGAAAUAAUUUGUUGCAUCUUUUUAGAAAAAUAAAAUAAUUUUUUACAUCUGUGUA